GAAACACACUACUACUAUCAUUUUGAACUUAAACAUUCCACACACUUUCUCUCUCUAAAAGUAUACAAUUAUGUAUAUAUAGAGAGUUUUUUUUUUUGUAGGUAUAAAUCUCUGUGGAAGUAAUUUUUGGUGUAUUGGAUGUGAGAGAAGAAAGGUGUAAAAAAGUUGAACGGAGAUGUCGGAGUUUUCCGGCGAGUUAUCGGAGUUCAGUUCCGGAGAAAACGGCGUCGGUGGAGGAGGCAAUGUGCGUGAGACGACGCCGUUGACAGUGUCGGCGUCGUUUAAGGAAGGGAAGAGUUCACGGAGGAAGACGGCGGUGAUGAGGCCAAGCCUUGAUGCGGAUGAGUUCUUUAACCUUCUUCAUGGUUCGGAUCCGGUGAAAUUGGAGCUCAAUCGACUUGAGAAUGAAGUCAGAGAUAAGGACCGGGAAUUGACUGAAGCUCAAGCGGAGAUCAAGGCACUGAAGUUAUCAGAGAGAUUACGAGAAAAGGCUGUUGAAGAGCUCACGGAUGAGUUGUCAAGGGUCGACGAGAAGCUUAAGUUGACAGAAUCUCUUUUAGAAAGCAAGAAUCUUGAAAUUAAGAAAAUUAAUGAUGAGAAGAAAGCAUCAAUGGCAGCUCAAUUUGCAGCAGAAGCCACUCUUAGAAGGGUCCAUGCUGCCCAAAAAGAUGAUGAUAUGCCGCCUAUUGAAGCCAUCCUUGCACCUUUGGAGGCCGAACUCAAACUUGCACGUCAGGAGAUUGCAAAGCUGCAAGAUGAUAAUAAAGCACUGGAUCGUCUUACAAAGUCGAAAGAGGCAGCUUUACUUGAAGCUGAGAGAACUGUGCAGUCAGCAUUAGCAAAAGCUUCUAUGGUGGAUGACCUUCAGAACAAGAACCAAGAGUUGAUGAAACAGAUAGAAAUAUGCCAGGAAGAAAAUAAAAUAUUGGACAGAAUGCAUCGCCAAAAGGUUGCAGAGGUUGAAAAACUUACCCAAAGUGUGCGCGAGCUUGAGGAGGCUGUUCUGGCUGGUGGUGCAGCUGCUAAUGCUGUCCGGGAUUAUCAACGGAAAGUUCAAGAGAUGAAUGAAGAAAGAAAAACACUUGAUCGAGAGCUGGCACGUGCCAAGGUAACAGCUAAUAGGGUAGCAACUGUGGUUGCUAAUGAGUGGAAAGAUGCCAAUGAUAAAGUAAUGCCUGUGAAACAAUGGCUUGAAGAAAGGAGGUUUUUGCAGGGUGAGAUGCAAACGUUGCGUGACAAGCUCACAGUCACUGAACGAGCUGCUAAAUCAGAAGCCAUGUUAAAGGAGAGAUAUCAACUGAGGCUUAAGGUCCUUGAAGAAACAUUAAGAUCAUCCAGCUCAGCUACUCGCAGUACACCAGAUGGUAGAAGUUCAAGCAAUGGUCCUUCACGCCGGCAAUCACUGGGAGGCGCUGAGAACAUCUCCAAAUUAACUUAUAAUGGCUUUUUACCAAAGAGAUCACCAUCAUUUCAGCUUAGAUCUUCUGGGUCCAGCACAGUGCUGAAGAAUGCUAAAGGGACAUCAAAGUCAUUUGAUGGUGGCUCAAGAUCAUUGGACAGGGGUAAAAAACUUCUGAAUGUAACAGGUCCAAAUUUCAAUAGCAGCAAGUCUGUUGAUGGAGUUAAGGAUAAUGAGACUGAAACUACUUCUUGGAAAUCAAAUCAAGAUGAAAAACGUACCGACCUACCAGUAACUGAAACAGAAGAUACUGUGCCUGGACUACUAUAUGACUUACUUCAAAAAGAGGUAGUUGCUUUGCGGAAAGCUGGCCAUGAAAAGGAUCAAAGUCUUAAAGACAAGGACGAUGCAAUUGAGAUGUUAGCUAAGAAAGUAGAGACUUUAACAAAAGCCAUGGAAGUUGAGGCCAAAAAGAUGAGAAGGGAGGUUGCUGCCAUGGAGAAAGAGGUCGCUGCUAUGCGUGUUGAGAAAGAACAAGAAAAUAGGGCAAAAAGAUUGGGAAAUUCUAAGGGUCCAGUGAACAGUUCUCAGCUGCUACCUGGAAGGAGUGUAGCACGAAGUGGGUUAACACGCACACAAUAAAACACAAGGGAAACCUAUAAUUGUCUUAAGAAGCAACUCCGCGUAAACCUCAGGAGCUCCUUGUGUGCCUUAGAAAUCCCCUAUUUUUACCCCCGUGAUGGUUGAUUGUAAAACAGCAACAAGCAUGCCAAUGACUAUGAUGUUUCUGCUCUGGUUGGAGCAAGAAAGCGAUAUCUUUAAACAUGGAGAUAGGCAGUGAAUCUUGGUGUGCUUCUGACUUAGAAGACUGUGGUCCGGUCCCUCUCUGCUUACAGAUAAGCAGGAAAAGAAACUCAAGAUGUCAGAGUUGAGCUAACCUUUUGGCAGAGAACAAUUUGUGUCACAGUUGAUUUUGUGGUUGUAUAGAGUAGCUUGUUGGCAUUUACUUGGUCUAUUCCGUUUUCAUGUUGUUUGCAGUCUAUAUUUGUAAUCUGCAGCUCUAGUGUGAUGUGUUAUUGGUUCAGGUUUGUUAAUAUUGUUGCAAUGAGAUAAGUAUGAGAAUUUUUUCGCCGCAUUUUUUUUAGCUUUCUAUUUCCCUCAGUUCAAAACUAGUCGUCGUAUG
rnacentral:misc_RNA from 1 species